AUGAAUCUGUUAGCCUGGAACUGUCGAGGGUUGGGGUUGACCUCGACAGUUGGCGAACUACGGGACCUCAUUAGGUCAUACAACCCAGCGGUGGUGUUCCUUUGUGAAACAAAAAAGAAGGCGAGAGCGAUGGAGAAAAUAAAAUGGAGCCUUGGCUUUAAGUGUGGUGUGGCUGUGGACGGUGUGGGGGCAAGUGGUGGCCUGGCGUUAUGGUGGAGAGAUUAUGUGAAUGUCACGCUGAGGCCUUGGUGCCAAUAUUUCAUUGAUGCGGAGUUGACUGUUGAUGAUAAAACCUGUAGAUUCACUGGUUUCUACGAGGAGCCGAAGACAGAGCUACGCAAGAAGUCUUGGGAUGCUAUUCGGUUUUUACGUGCUCAAAACAAUCUUCCGUGGUUAUGUGUGGGAGACUUCAAUGAGGUGCUCUUUCAAUCGGAUCAGAUAGGUGGGAAUCCACGUAGCUUUACACAAAUGGAGGAUUUUCGUGAUUACCUAGAUGAAUGUGGGCUGGCGGACCUGGGCUUCUCAAGCUAUCAGUACACAUGGGAUAACAAGAGAGACUGA
rnacentral:rRNA from 1 species